CCGGGCGCCGGGAAAUGUGGUGUUAGGGAGGGUCCAUUAUCCCGAGAUCAUGCGGCGGUCCAAGUCCUUCUUGAACGGGGCCACAGCCCAUAGAGGGUGCCAGGCCCGUAGUGACCGCUGCUGAUCGCGGGAGGAUCUCUCCUCAGAGUCGGGUUGCUUGAGAGUGCAGCCCUAAGUGGGUGGUAAACUCCAUCUAAGGCUAAAUAUGACCACGAGACCGAUAGCGAACAAGUACCGUGAGGGAAAGUUGAAAAGCACUUUGAAGAGAGAGUUCAAGAGUACGUGAAACCGUUUAGGGGUAAACCUGAGAAACCCGAAAGGUCGAAGGGAGAAAUUCAUUCGCGUUUCGCCGUUGGCGUGAAGCGGUCGUGUGACGGAGAGCGUUCGCGCAUUUCCGCACCUUCCGUUUUUCGAUCCGAUAGCGAACGCGUGCACUUUUCUCCUGGUAGGACGUCGCGAUCCGUUGGGUGUUGGUCUACGGCAUGCGGUGGAGCCCGGACGUACGGCUUGCCGGUCACGUUCGAACCCGCGUGUCCCGGCUGACUCGCUCGACGGUAUACGAAAGGUUUAAGGCCGCUCACUUUGAGCGUUCGGCUCGCUGCAAGCGCGUCAGAUGUGUCGGCGAUCGGACCUAGUGCCGGUUCUGACCUCUGGCGACUGUUGGCCGCGAAGUUCUCGAACAGACCUUCAGACCGAUCUGCGACGCUAUAGCUUUGGGUACUUUCAGGACCCGUCUUGAA
rnacentral:rRNA from 1 species